CAUUGUAAUAGAAUUAAGAAAAUAAAACAGGAAAAAUCACGUCUUGAACGAACCCUUACGAUUUACGAUAAACAACACGCGAAUCGUAAACCGGAGUGUCGUUGCAAACUUUCAUGAAAAAUUUUGUUAUAAUUUUUAUAAUUUUAACAAAAAUGUCUGUAUCUUGUUAUAAAUUUAUACUUAUAAGAAUACGCUUGUUUAUUUAAUACUUUUUUUCACGAAAAU
ensembl:ncRNA T21C9.16 ncRNA